UACGAAGGGGGCUAGCGUUGCUCGGAAUCACUGGGCGUAAAGCGCACGUAGGCGGAUGUGUCAGUCAGGGGUGAAAUCCCGGGGCUCAACCUCGGAACUGCCUUUGAUACAGCACGUCUCGAGUCCGGAAGAGGUGGGUGGAAUUCCUAGUGUAGAGGUGAAAUUCGUAGAUAUUAGGAAGAACACCGGUGGCGAAGGCGGCCCACUGGUCCGGUACUGACGCUGAGGUGCGAAAGCGUGGGGAGCAAACAGG
rnacentral:rRNA from 1 species